CGUCUCCUAUGGAAAUAAUCGGAAUACGCUUAAAAAAAUAGAUAUGUAACAAAAUAGCUGAUACUGGGAAUGGGUGCGGCCACUGUUGUAGUUGAAUAAUGGGGAAUUUGGAAUACAUUAAGUUAUUUAAAUUAUUAGUGUAACCAAUAAUAAACCAUUGAUAACGAGAACGAUUCGGAACGAAGUUCUGUUAACAAGUUUUUAAAAGCCAUAAUACUUACGGUUUUUGUCAAAAAAUUAUUUGUUGACCACUAAGUACGACUUAUAAUGAACCUCCUACCAAAUUUUCAAACAUUUCUGUUAAGUCUAACCAUUUAUUUACAGAGUAUUUACAAAAUAAAAAUUACGUAAAUACUUCGCAAAAUUAAAAAUUUUAUCAGGAACAGUAUUAUUAGGUAUAUAUUUGUAGUUACAAUUUGCUUAUAAAUAUUUUUUUUUUAA